rnacentral:lncRNA from 1 species
CUCCCACUCCUCAUCUUCAUCCGCAUAUGGUUCAUCUGGUUGAUAAUGUUUCAACCCUUCGAUGCAAAGCAUCUGUUAUUCUUAGUUUCAGGUAAAUUUACCUUAAAACUCAUUCCUUUGAGAGACUAUAGAACGGCCGGUCGCAGGACACAUCGUCGCCGGGGCCGGAAUUGGAAUUUUCAGCGAGCAUGAGCCAAGGCGAUGAUGAGCAAUUAGAAGGACCUAUAUCAAAUUUAUUGGCUUCAAUCGCAGCAGAUCGCCAUAAUCUACAGACUCCACCAAAAGCAAUGAAAU